rnacentral:lncRNA from 1 species
AUUUUCUUUUCACAAUUCUCACCGCCACUUUUUAAAAAGCCAGUCAAAUUUAGCAGUGGGGGGGUCAUAUACCAACUUUAGUGACACUAGUGUUAAUAAGUUCUGAUAACCCACUACCAUUGGACCAAACCUCCCUAUUUUUUCUUUUAAACUCUUUCAGAAAAUGCAUUUUAGAAGAAAAUGAGUCUCUGAUCUCAGGAUUUGUCUGAUCUCUCACGAUUGGGAUGGCCCAUUCCUAGAGGGGUAAGGUCCCACGUUGUUAGGAAAACUCAUUUUUAGCCAGUUAUGAAGUCUUAUAUUCUACAAAGAAAAAAUAGGUGAAGGACAGAGAAAGGAAGCAGAGGAAAGAUGAGAAAAUAACAAAUAUUUUUUAAAAAGGGAGAACAAUCCUGGAAAACUGAUAUAGGCCAUAUUACUCCGAAGUCAAUACAUCAGUAGGGAGAAGACCUGGAAAACACUGCUAGACCAACUCAAAAUUACAAAGUUUUCCAGAGCUUAUAUGUCUUCUAAGCCAUAUGUCUAUGUCUGCAGGAAUGUAGACAAUUCAGAGGCUUUGUUCCCCAUAAUUUGGAACUUUUCUUCAGAUUUGACCAAGUCGGGUAGAGAUGAUCAAACCUAAUGGGAAAAAGACUGAAACAACAAAAACAGAAACAGGCAAACACAACCAGUAGCUCUGGUGGCCUUUACCUCAGGCUUUGAUGACAGACAGAGGAACCAACAAUCUAACCUGAUGCCUGCCUCUCCCCACGCCAGUGCUGAGGAGCUCCUGCAGAGAAAGCCUGCUCUUCCAGCCCUUGUAUUCAGGACAGGUGCCGGGUGGUCCCUCAAGACCCUUUUUCAGCAGUAAAUCCUACCUGCUUUCACUGAGUUCUCACUAAGUUUAUUUGGUUUAAUCUAGGUUGUCUGA